GAUCAUGGCUCAGGAUGAACGCUAGCGACAGGCUUAACACAUGCAAGUCGAGGGGCAGCGGGGGUAGCGAUACCCGCCGGCGACCGGCGCACGGGUGAGUAACACGUAUGCAACUUGCCUAUCAGAGGGGGAUAACCCGGCGAAAGUCGGACUAAUACCGCAUGAAGCAGGGAUCCCGCAUGGGAAUAUUUGCUAAAGAUUCAUCGCUGAUAGAUAGGCAUGCGUUCCA
rnacentral:rRNA from 1 species